rnacentral:rRNA from 1 species
UACGUAGGGUGCAAGCGUUGUCCGGAAUUAUUGGGCGUAAAGAGCUCGUAGGCGGUUUGUCGCGUCUGCUGUGAAAACGCGAGGCUCAACCUCGCGCCUGCAGUGGGUACGGGCAGACUAGAGUGUGGUAGGGGAGAUUGGAAUUCCUGGUGUAGCGGUGGAAUGCGCAGAUAUCAGGAGGAACACCGAUGGCGAAGGCAGAUCUCUGGGCCAUUACUGACGCUGAGGAGCGAAAGCGUGGGGAGCGAACGGG